rnacentral:rRNA from 1 species
CUAAGAGGCGGACGGGUGAGUAAUGUAUAGUUAAUCUGCCCUUUAGAGGGGGAUAACAGUUGGAAACGACUGCUAAUACCCCAUACUCCUUUUACAUUAAUUGUAAUUGGGAAACGUUUUUUCGCUAAAGGAUGAGACUAUAUGGUAUCAGGUAGUUGGUAGGGUAAGAGCCUACCAAGCCAAUGACGCCUAGCUGGUCUGAGAGGAUGAUCAGCCACACUGGAACUGAGACACGGUCCAG